rnacentral:tmRNA from 1 species
GUAAAGGUUUCGACAGGGAUCUUGAACGUGGAGAAGCUAUCCGAAUGCAAGAGCGUAACUCGGCAAAUUAAAAAUAAACGCUAACGACAACGAAUUAGCAUUCGCGGCCUAAAGCCGCGACGUCGCCCGGAGAGCACCCGCACUUUCCGGAUACGGCGUCGACUUGCGGGAAACGACACGGAUUAAGCUUUGCGUCCGCGGGCGUAUCAUGAAGCUACUCCGACAGUGUGUCUGUCUGUUGAUGCAUUGUCAGGAGAAAAUGGCGUAAGCCGAAACAGCAGACUACGAUAGUAGAAGGACACCGGAUGGGUUUUUGGACGCGGGUUCGAUUCCCGCCUAUUCCA